rnacentral:rRNA from 1 species
GACGAACGCUGGCGGCGUGCUUAACACAUGCAAGUCGAACGGAAAGGCCCUGCUUGCAGGGUGCUCGAGUGGCGAACGGGUGAGUAACACGUGGGUGAUCUGCCCCUUACUUUGGGAUAAGCCUGGGAAACUGGGUCUAAUACUGGAUAGGACCAUGCUGUAGGUGGUGUGGUGGAAAGAUUAGUUUCGGUAAGGGAUGAGCUCGCGGCCUAUCAGCUUGUUGGUGGGGUAAUGGCCUACCAAGGCGUCGACGGGUAGCCGGCCUGAGAGGGUGGACGGCCACAUUGGGACUGAGAUGCGGCCCAGACUCCCACGGGAGGCAGCAGUGGGGAAUAUUGCACAAUGGGCGCAAGCCUGAUGCAGCGACGCCGCGUGGGGGGUGACGGCCUUCGGGUUGUAAACUCCUUUCAGCCAUGACGAAGCCCUUGUGGUGACGGUAGUGGUAGAAGAAGCACCGGCUAACUACGUG